UUCUUACGUUUGCCAUUGUACCAUGACUGACAUCGGCUCUCCUUUAGUCGUACUUGCCGUCGCUCAGCAUCCACCACCGGCAAACCUCUUCGCCGAUAGCUUUCAGUUCAUCUUCAACAAUUCCCAUGUUGUUUCGGUCCAUACUUGACAUAUACUAGCAGGUCAAGUUUCUGUCCAUUCCCGAUGCAGGGGAAACUCUGCCAAAAUUUUCUCUGACCAGGUGCUGUUAUUGCUUCUGCUGAUGCUACCUCAAGUUGUUCUCCUUCUUCAUUCAGUAGCUCUUCGAGUGCUGGUCCUUGUACAACUGGUUCAUCUGUGACAAUAAGUAUUCUCAUCCCAUUUGCAUCUCUUUUGACCACUUUCCAUGGUGUUUCCUAGUUGUCUUUAACUCCUCUUUAAUUCUUCCUCUGCAGGACCUGGAUGUGGCCAAUGUCAGCAUUAGUCCUUUGCAUACCACUACUGUUUUCCUGAUUUUCGUUUUCCCCCUAGCCAAAUUGAUGAGAUAUUUAAUUAGAACACCCUAAAAAUUAUUCUUAAACCGAGGAGAUUAAGUAUUGGCCAAGAUACACAAUUGGAUAGGCUGAGUGAAUUGACAGGUUAUCUCUUAUAUACUUAGGCCCCUGGCAUAAGAUCGUUAUCCAGAAAUUAAUUUACUUGACUUGCUUUGCACCUCCA